AUGGAGGCAUUGCUUAGCUACUGGUCUGCGGUGACGAACGAUGACCGUAAGCUCAGCAAGUUCGAUCUUGGCUGCCUGGAGAGUAUGAUAUUCUCUUGGUCCAUCGAGGAUAUCUUCAACAGGGACCUCCUCAGGCAGAAGGUCAAGAGGAUACCGGAUACCUUCCCGUCGUUACAGGCUUACUUGGGUUCAUUUGCCUGUCCUCUGAUUGAAGAAGUACAUGUUGAUGUAUUUUCCUCAUUAGAUGGUUAUGCCCAGGCAAACUUUAUUGAAGUAAUCCGAGUGGAGAAGCUUGACAAUGCGAAAUCAAUAUUUGGUUUCGAGGUUUCAGAGCCAUCAAAGGAUAAGAAGUCGAGGGAGACGUAUGAUCCCAAAGAGGGAGACAUAAUAGUCGUGUCCUCUCGAAAACCAAAGCAUGUGUCUGAGUUGACGCAAAAUAAGGAAUCAUACGUUCUAGGUUUAGUUCUGAAAUCUGGAGAAGAAGAUGGAGAUAUCCCACCCAACUGUUGUAUUAUUCGGUUUUCGUCAACCAUUCCUGUUGAAGCAGACCCAGAAACAAAAGUACCUAAGGGGCAAUUAUUUGCUGUACUUCUCAUAAAUAUGACUACAUACAACCGUAUUUGGAAGUGCCUCCGUAUGGAAGUAAAUGAUACUAAUCAUGAGGAACAUUGGAACAAAUGGAGCAGCACCGACAUUGUUGAUCUCGUGUGGCAGUAUAAGCCAAGGCCUUAUCAUGCCUUGUACUUCGUUGUUGAAGAUGGAAGCUUAUCCUCCUCUCAUAGACCAAUUGAUGGCCUUGGCCUUGAGAAAUUCAACCUUAGUGAUUCACAGUUGGAUGCAGUAGCAGAUUGUGUCUCAGCAGUGGAUAAUGGCUCGUGUUCGCUUAAACUAAUAUGGCCCCCUGGAACAGGCAAAACAAAAACCAUCAGCACUAUCUUGUGGGCAAUGCUCAUGAAGGGCUUAAAGACACUUACAUGUGCACCUACGAAUAUUGCUGUACUGGAAGUCACAUCUCGAAUUGUCAGGCUUGGUAACAAAGAGAAGAUGAAAAUUGAUAAUUUUCUGUUGGAAAUAUGCCCUAGAGGCAAUAAUAAAAUGAUUAUUAUAUUUUCUUAUUCAUGA
rnacentral:rRNA from 1 species